CCCUUAGAUGUUCUGGGCCGCACGCGUGCUACACUGAGUGGAUCAGCGGGUCAGGUUACGCGAGAGCGUUUCCUAAUCUUCAAAUCCGCUCGUGAUGGGGAUUGACGGUUGCAAUUUUCCGUCAUGAACGAGGAAUACCUUGUAAGCGCGGGUCAUCAUCCCGCGCUGAAUACGUCCCCGCCCUUUGUACACACCGCCCGUCGCUCCUACCGAUUGAGUGGUCCGGUGAGGCUUUGGGAUCUGAGCGGAAAGAGCGUUUCGCUGUUUCUGCUCGGAAAACUCAGUCGAACCUUAUCAUUUAGAGGAAGGAGAAGUCGUAACA
rnacentral:rRNA from 1 species